rnacentral:misc_RNA from 1 species
AUCUGGAGCAACUCAUCCUGCAUAACAACUCGAUCACCCAUCUCUCUGCAGACGUCUUCUCCACACUUCCAUCUCUUCGAGUCCUCGAUCUCUCUUCCAACAGUCUUUUGUCACUUCCAAAUGAAGUAUUCUCAAAACUCAAGAAUCUAAAGACCCUCAUCAUCUCCUCCAACGAUGUACAACUCGGACCUGAAUGCUUUGCCGGGCUCUCCCAACUGCAAACUCUUUCCAUUGCCGAUAACCGUCUCUCAUUCCUUCCUCCAUCGGUUUUAAAGCCUCUUUCGGGACUUCGAAAUCUCGAUUUGUCUGCAAAUAAGCUCCUGUCAAUGCCGGCGUCUGUUAUGAAUAACCUGGGAGGCUUGGAGACUCUCAAGCUGAAGCAGAACCUUCUGUCAAGUCUCGAAACUGGAAUGUUCCUCUCACAAAAAGAGCUGAAGCAUCUGGAUGUGAGUGAGAAUCUCAUUGGAGACAUUGAAGAGGGUGCUCUCUACGGGCUCGAGAAGCUGGAAACCCUGAAUUUGACGAAUAACCAGCUGGUUCGACUGCCAGGAAACACGUGGUCCCUGCCCGCUUUGAAGACUCUCGAUUUGUCGUCGAAUUUGUUUGUUUCACUGGAAACCGCGUCGUUCGAUGGGCUUCCCGCGUUGCAGUAUUUGAAUAUUUCACAUUCAAGGAAUUUGAAAACGAUUCAGAUGGCCACCUUCGUCCAGCUCUCCUCACUCCACUGGCUCUCGAUCUCAUCAUCAGCUCUCACCCACAUCCAUCCAUCAGCCUUCAACCCGAUCCCUCCACUCUCCCAUCUGGAUCUCUCGAACAACGAGCUCCGUUACGUGGCUCCAGGAAUGCUCCAAUGGCCGAACAUUCGCAAUUUGCACUUGGCCAACAACGACUGGCACUGCUCCUGUGAUCUCCGCGUCUCAAAUCUCAACCCACGAGACGACGCGAAAUGCUCGGGACCCGAAAACCUGGCCGGCGCACCUAUCAACGAACUGAGCUCCUGCAGUAUUCUAGGAGGGCUCUUGAUUCCAUUCCUUUUGGUGCUCUUCAUCCUUCUCCUGGCUCUGGUGAUUCUGGCUCUAGCUUGUAAGAAGUCCAAGCCGGUUUCUCUGAAGAACCGCGCAUUCUACAAUGAUCAAUUGAUUGCCGCGUUGAACUCUCACAAGGAGUACUCCUUCGAUUGUCAUUCACCGUACACGAUGAGCUCCGAGGAUUCCCGGGAUUCAGCCUACGAGUCGCCAACAUCUGCUCUGAUGCCUCGUCGUCCACCACCAUCCUGUCCACCUCCACCAAGGCUCCUAACACUUCCGAGGGCCGGGCCAACUCAUGUAGCGCCACCGAUGGUUCCAGUUCCAAACUUUCGAAAUUCAAAUGACCCCUACUUGAUUCCAAAGUCACAAGUCCCAAUUACAAGACUCUAG